GUCCGCACGGUAAACGAUGGAUGCCCGCUGUUGACCCACCUGGGCCAGCGGCCAAGCGAAAGCAUUAAGCAUCCCACCUGGGGAGUACGCCGGCAACGGUGAAACUCAAAGGAAUUGACGGGGCCCGCACAAGCGGAGGAACAUGUGGUUUAAUUCGAUGAUACGCGAGGACCUUACCCGGGCUUGAAUUGCAGAGGAAUUUUACCAGAGAUGGUAAAGCCCUUCGGGGUCUCUGUGAAGGUGCUGCAUGGUUGUCGU
rnacentral:rRNA from 1 species